rnacentral:lncRNA from 1 species
CUGCAACCGCAAUGUUGUAGAAGUAGAACUCACAUAAAGCACAUUUUCUUGUAAUGUUCCCCAGUUUUAACUUCCUAGGUUUCGUUCAAUGUAAAGUACACGGAGCCUCAGGCUAGACGUCAUAAAAAUUAUAAAGAGGAAAAAAAAAUAAAAAUAAACUAAUAAGUGCUUCAUCCAUCAAAAUUUAGAAGUUUAACAGCAAAGAAGUAAGAAUUGAAAUUUUUACCCCAUUAAAAAAUUCAGACUCGGGGUUUUUUGGCCUUUUUUUUUAAAAUUUUGAUGGCGUUUCUACACAUCAUUUUUUAUUUUACUUUUUUUUGUCAAUUUAUUAGAUUCAAUUAAUUUAUAUGAUUAUAAAUAAAUUAGAGAAAACUUGUGUUUGAGAAACAUUAUAUUAAAAAACAAAUUUAAAUACUUUCAAGAAGUACUUAAUUAUGUAAUUUCAAUUAUACUUAUAAAUUUAGUGUGUAUCUAUCAUUUUCAUUUAUAUAAAUAAUGCAAAUGAUCUCAAUAUUUGAGCUCUAACUUAAGUCAUAAUACUAAAUGUUACUCAUCCAUUGGAUGCCAAAGUUCCCGUAGGAUGGGGGGUCGAGUAUCAUAUCUAAUUUUACCCUGUUUUAUUAAAAAAAAAGGGGUAUGGACAUAACUUUUUAUACCCUGAUGUUAAAUACUAUUACGCAUAUUUUCUCACUAUACUUAUUUGACUAUUCAUUAUUUGUUUUUAUAAAUUUUUUAAAAAGUUAAAAUUAACAGCUAAAUCAAAUAAAUGAUAAAGUAAAAAAAAAUUAAAACUCUAAAUCGAAAACAUUAGCACUUAGCACUUAAUAAACUAAUCGAAAUGACCAUUCAGUAUGAUGUUAUCCUAGAUAUUUACUUGAAGAUUUUAGUUGUUUAAUGAACUAGACAUUUACUUGACCUUCAAAAAUCUUAACCUAGUAGGAAACAAAUGACGAUAGAACAAUAUUUAAGAUCAGUUUAAAGUAGCAAAGGAUGGUCAAAGAAAUGCUCAAGUGGAGGCUUUUAUUGUCAUCUAAAUAAUACUAAUAUAUUGAUUAAAAUUAAACUUAAAAAUUAUCAAUUUAUAAAUAAUAUUUACCUAAAAUUGAAAAUGAUUUUAUAAAAAUAUUUUAAAUAAAUUCCUGCACGUUUAUUUAAAAUUAAAUAGUUAAGGUAUGGUUUUUUCCCUUUUUAAAUAUAUGCAGGAUUUUGAGAUAUAAAAGGAGAUAUAGAGGACAUAGAAAGGGAAUGAGUAUCUAUAUUUGAUAAUGAAGAAUCCUCGAUGCGUACCCAUUCAAACCCACAAUGAGGAUGUGCUCUACUGAAUAGGUAUGCAUAUUGGCAUCUCUGCAAGACACCAGACUCAUUUCCAUUUUCUAAUUGGACUUAAAUUUGGAUUAUAAAAAAUAUUGAAAAAAAAAGAUAAGGGGGUGGUCUCAUAUUUUAGUCCCUUUCCUCCUCCAAGAUUUGAACCGGAGUAGUAAACUAAAUAAAGCUGUUUGAAAUUACUUGGUCACGCCCUUGAAGACAACUUAGAUUGAGAUCUAAAUGUUGGAUCCGUAACGUUACUCUUCUUGAACAUGUUCACUCCUUUAUUUAUUCUUAAUCAUACAAUCGCACCAAUCCCACAGAUGGGGAAACCGUCUAAAUUUUAUCAAUAUUUCAAAAGAAAAAUGACCAAGAAUUAUAGAAGUCAAUAGAUCAUCACCAAUUUCACGUACCAAUUCUUCAAAUUCCAGUAGUUAUUAAAUUUUUUUUGUUAAGAACUUGAAAUUUUGAGGUUUGAAUCAGGCACUGCUAGAGUUAGACUCUGAGUUCUGCCCUUGGUGCCAACUAACUAAUUUAGUAAAAUUUUGAGUGGAAACAAGAGAUCAAGGUUCAAUCAUGCACAAAUGAAUAAAGAGAAUAUUUAAUUACCGAUACGAUAUGCCAAAAAAAAAAAAAAACCUUAAAUUACAUCUAUAUAGUUAGUUAAAUUGGUUGUAUCAGAAGAAAAGGUACCUGUAUACAAGAACGUCAAGGGGCAUGCAUGAAUAUUCCUUUUGGAGUAAGAGAAAUGAUUCCUUCAUUGCAUGAAUUAGCGGAGAAUAUGCAAGAUCCCAAAAGUCGAGAUAGAUUUAUCCGCUGGAAAGCCAAAAACAUCUCCGGCGUAACUCCAAGAUAAUGAAUUAUG